UACAGAGGUCUCAAGCGUUUGUUCGGAUUCAUUGGGCGUAAAGGGUGCGUAGGCGGCGCGGUAAGUCGGGUGUGAAAUCUCGGAGCUUAACUCCGAAACUGCAUUCGAUACUGCCGUGCUUGAGGACUGGAGAGGAGACUGGGAAUUUACGGUGUAGCGGUGAAAUGCGUAGAUAUCGAUAAGGAAGACCAGUGGCGAAGGCGGGUCUCGUGGACAGUUCCUGACGCUGAGGCACGAAGGCCAGGGGAGCAAAACGGG
rnacentral:rRNA from 1 species